AGUAGUUUGACUCCGUGGCUCGAGGACGAACGCUGGCGGCGUGCUUAACACAUGCAAGUCGAACGGAACCUUCGGGUUUAGUGGCGAACGGGUGAGUAAAGCGCAGGUAAUCUGCCGCAAAGAUGGGGACAACGUUCCGAAAGGGGCGCUAAUACCGAAUGUUGUAGAAGAUUCGCAUGGAUUUCUACUAAAGAUUUAUCGCUUUGCGAGGAGCCUGCGUCCGAUUAGGUAGUUGGUAGUGUAAUGGACUACCAAGCCGACGAUCGGUAGCCGGUCUGAGAGGAUGAACGGCCACAAUGGAACUGAGACACGGUCCAUACUCC
rnacentral:rRNA from 1 species